UCCUGGGAAGAGUGUUACUGGCACAAGGGGCCAUCCAGAAAUCCCUGCCGGGCUCUUCACCCUGUUCCUGAAUUCCCCCACUGUCAGGCGUGUGCACACGGAGCACUCAGGCAGCAACCCCCCGGCCCCAGUGCAUUUCCUAUCGAUUGGAUGCAGAAAAUCACUCCCAGACCAGAACAGAGAUGCUUGUCACAAGGACAAUCGCUGUGUUCCUGGGGGAAGGAGCAGUCCAGGCAGCCGAGCCUCCCCGCCUCACCCCCAAGGGAAAAGCGGCAUCCCUGAAACCCAAGAGAGGAAGGUGCCCAGUGCAUCUCGGUGCUUGUAUCCCUCCGCUCAUCCUUGUCUAAUGAAAUAGUACCUAUUUGAAUUGAAAUGAAUGGCCCCCGCGCUCACACCACUGCACCGAGCAGCGCCCAACCCUGCGCUGCACCUGCCAGUCCAGCCCGCCGCCUGCCUGAGCCCGCGGAGCCCGCUCCUCACCCGGGCACAGACCGCGGCUCGGCCGGGGCACGAUGGGGUGGGGGGCACCUCUAUCCCAGCACUCUAGUUCGGGACCCUGUUUCCCAUGGGCGGGAUGGGCACCUGCACCUUCUCCUCCCGUCCCGCCCUGCCUGGCUUUCUCUCUCCAGGUCUGCCCUCCCUCUUUCUCCUCCCCCCGUUUCAUUCCCCCCCCCCCACCUUUUUUUCUCUUUUUUUUUCCUUUUCAUCUCCCUGAUUUUUCUCUCCCCCCCGCGCUGUUUUUUUUCCUCUUCUUCUCAGUCCUCCUUUUUUCUUCCCCUUUCUGCCCUAGCCCCUGGCGCCCAUUCCCUACGUUGUUUGCAUCGUCCCCUUUCCCCCAAUACACACUUCCACCCACUCCCUCCCUCCCUGCCCCCCCCAUCGCUUGUCCCGGUGCCCGGACAAUGAUCGCGGUGUAUGAAGUUCUAACUGGUUUGUGUCAGGCAGCUCUUUCUAUGCAGCCUGGCGUGACGGAUUAAACAUCAACUAGUUAAAUAAAAAUUAAU